CAGCACCUGAAAUCAAGCAAGGUUACCCGCUGAACUUAAGCAUAUCAGU
rnacentral:rRNA from 1 species